rnacentral:misc_RNA from 1 species
GUGAACUUAGCAGAAUGGGGGAUGCUUUGGCAAAAGAAAGGCCAGCUUGAGAAAAUUGUUGAUCCUGCUCUGGUUGGUACCAUUAACUUUAGUUCAUUGCGAAAAUUUGGUGAAACUGCUGAGAAAUGUUUGAGGCCUAAUGGCGCGGAGAGGCCUAUGAUGCAUGAUGUGCUGUGGGACUUAGAAUUUGCAUUGCGGCUU